rnacentral:rRNA from 1 species
UACGUAGGGGGGCAAGCGUUGUCCGGAAUCAUUGGGCGUAAAGAGCGUGUAGGCGGCCCGGUAAGUCCGCUGUGAAAGUCCAGGGCUCAACCCUGGGAUGCCGGUGGAUACUGUCGGGCUCGAGUCCGGAAGAGGAGUGUGGAAUUCCUGGUGUAGCGGUGAAAUGCGCAGAUAUCGAGGAGGAACACCGGUGGCGAAGGCGGGUCUCUGGGCCGAUACUGACGCUGAGGAGCGAAAGCGUGGGGAGCGAACAGG